AGUGAACGCUGGCGGUAGGCCUAACACAUGCAAGUCGAACGGCAGCACAGUAAGAGCUUGCUCUUGCGGGUGGCGAGUGGCGGACGGGUGAGGAAUACAUCGGAAUCUACUUUUUCGUGGGGGAUAACGUAGGGAAACUUACGCUAAUACCGCAUACGACCUACGGGUGAAAGCAGUGGAUCUUCGGACCUUGCGCGAUUGAAUGAGACGAUGUCGGAUUAGCUAGUUGGCGGGGUAAAGGCCCACCAAGGCGACGAUCCGUAGCUGGUCUGAGAGGAUGAUCGGCCACACUGGAACUGAGACACGGUCCAGACUCCUACGGGAGGCAGCAGUGGGGAAUAUUGGACAAUGGGCGCAAGCCUGAUCCAGCCAUGCCGCGUGGGUGAAGAAGGCCUUCGGGUUGUAAAGCCCUUUUGUUGGGAAAGAAAAGCAGCAGGUUAAUACCCCGCUGUUCUGACGGUACCCAAAGAAUAAGCACCGGCUAACUUCGUG
rnacentral:rRNA from 1 species